rnacentral:lncRNA from 1 species
GUAAAAAUACAGCGAAUAGUAAGUAUUGGGGAGGAUGGGGAGAAAUUGAAACCUGCAUGCCAUUGGUGGGUUUGGAAAGUAGUGCAACUGCUAUGGAAAACAGUAUCAUAGAGCUUCCUCAAAAUAUCAAAACUAGAACUAGCAUAUGGUCCAGCAACCCCACUGCUGGGUGGAUAUCCAAAACAAUCAAAAGCAGGAAUAUUUGCACAUCCACGAACAUAGCAGCAUUAUGGUGGAAGGCACUUAAACGUCUGUUGGCAGAUGAGUGGAUGACAAAAUGUGGUCCAUACGUACAACUGAAUGUUAUCCUUCCUUAAAUAUCCUGUCACAUGUUACAACGUGGUUGGAACUUGAGGACUUUAUACUAAGGGAAAGAAGUCAGACAGAAAUUGACAAAUAUUGUGUGGUUUCACAUACAUGAAGCACAUACAAUCAUGAGAUUCAUAAAGACAGAAAGGAAAAUAGUGGUUACCAGAGACUGAGGGGAAGGGAAACAUGGGAAUUAUUUAGUGGGUAUAGAGUUACAUAUUUACUGAACUGAUGAAAAGUCCUGGGGAUCUGUUUCACAGCAAGAAUGUGAGUUGACUUAUUACUGAACUGCACAAUUCAAAGUGGUGAAGAUGGUAAUUGUUAUGUUAUGUGGGUUUUACCACAUUAAAAAUUUUGACUUGAUAAACAAUAGAAAACCUGAA